GCUGGAGGGGCCUCCCUCGCCCGCCUGUCUUCGCCGGCGCUGGUCUCCCGCACCCGGGUCUGCAGUCCCUCCGCCAUCUCGCAGGUGUGCAGCCGCUAGGCCUGGGGGAUCCGAAUGACUGGGGCUGGAUAGGAAUGCCUUCGUGUUUCCCAAGACCCCCGGGCCUGCUCCACAAAGUUUGAAGGAAGGAGGAGUUGAGGCGCCUUGAAUUUUCCUUCGCGAGUUUGGAGACUAGCCGAUUUUUCAUGAAGCAAGCAAAGACCGCGGUCCCGGAUCCGGCAACAUCUACCUCAUUCUCUCCAGGCCUCUCCACUUGCCCGAGCUCUCAGCCACCAGGAGACAGAAGGAAGGGACUUCUGGGCUGCGUUGGGAGCGGGCACUGUCCCCUAUCUACUCCUGCUCGGUUUCCCAAAGUCCAGCGACAUCCGACCCUCCUGGGGGGAAAAAUACCAGUACCCAGACACCUCUGCACCCUGUUAUAUGACUGGGCUUGCUUCAGGAAUAUCUUACAAAGAAGAAGAAGAAGAAGAAGAAAGAACAGCUUGGAGUCAUGUUUACAUCUAGUUCUACUGACCGGUUCCCAUCUGGAGAGUUUAUUUAUAACUCCCUCUAUAACUCUCUGUUUGGAGGCACUGGUGGCUCUAUUGACAGACUGAUGUCUAGGAAAUAUUGCUCUAUGUCUAACCGUACCUAAAUGUGCUGUGGUUGUAUUUACAGAUUUAUGUUUGAGGGAAAUAUAAUUAUUUCCAUUGUAUUUGUGCAUAUACAGUAGUUAUAGGAGCAGAUUUAUAUAUGGGAAAAUAUACGACUCUCUUACAGCC
rnacentral:lncRNA from 1 species